rnacentral:tRNA from 1 species
GGGAAGGUGGCUCAGUGGUAGAGUGUUUGCCUUGCAUGCAUGAGGCCCUAGGUUCGAUUCCUCAGUACCA